CGAGGGUUCGGCCCUCGGCUGACGGCUCAGUAACACGCGGAUAAUCUGCCCUUAGGUGGAGGAUAAUCUCGGGAAACUGAGAAUAAUAUUCCAUAGAUUUAGGACGCUGGAAUGCACUUAAAUUAAAAGCUUCGGCGCCUAAGGAUGAGUCUGCGGACUAUCAGGUUGUAGUCAGGGUAACGACCUGACUAGCCUACGACGGAUACGGGUUGUGAGAGCAACACCCCGGAGAUGAUAUCUGAAACACGAUAUCAUGCCCUACGGGGCGCAGUACGCGCGAAUACUUCCCAAUGUGCGACCCCAGGACGAGGGAAUCCCAAGUGCUGGCUCGUUAGAGUCAGCUGUUUUUAUGUCUAAGAAGCAUAGAGAGUAAGGGCUGGGUAAGACAGGUGCCAGCCGCCGCGGUAAUACCUGCAGCUCUAGUGGUGGCCGCU
rnacentral:rRNA from 1 species